UACGGAGGGGGCUAGCGUUGUUCGGAAUUACUGGGCGUAAAGCGCACGUAGGCGGACCAUCAAGUUGGGGGUGAAAUCCCGGGGCUCAACCCCGGAACUGCCUUCAAAACUGUUGGUCUGGAGGUCGAGAGAGGUGAGUGGAAUUCCGAGUGUAGAGGUGAAAUUCGUAGAUAUUCGCAAGAACACCAGUGGCGAAGGCGGCUCACUGGUCCGGUACUGACGCUGAGGCGCGAAAGCGUGGGGAGCAAACAGG
rnacentral:rRNA from 1 species